ensembl:lncRNA
UCUUUACAGUUAAGCAUCGAUUCAGAUGUUAACAUCGUAUCAAAAAGUUCAUGCUAACACAGGAAAUGAGCUGAAAAUCAAUUAUCGAUGCACAAUAUAGUUUUAGCAUUGCUACAUGACUGGAUCAGACCCACAAAAUCAACUCAGGGGAUAAACUGUCAGAUUCAUUUCUAAGAAGCUGUGAGAAAAUUAAUUGGAUAGGACUUCAAAUGCUACAAAGGGGAACAGACUAAAAAAGGUCAGGGUUUAUUGAUUUGCAUGUUUCUAUUUGUCAAGUAUUUGUUUAUCGUGUUAUACUUUAGAGAGCGGAGUCUGCCCCAUGAAGGGAAAGUGAACAAAGAGAGAUAGGCAGUGAAGCAGGCAGCAGUACUGUCGGAUGUGGCUGUUUAUGCUCCCCGUCACGCACGCAAGAACCACAGAUGCGCACUGCAAACACAGGGGGACACACAAUUUGAUAUGGCGCUCGCACACACUUGCAGUGACACACACAUCCCACACUCAGCAGUAGACAGCAGGGUCCUGUCUCCGAUCACAGCAGAGCGUGGAUCUGCAGCAUGACUGCUGUAGACUUCGUGUGUGCUGCUCCCGUCUGAGCGGCUGCCGCAGAUUUGCCUGCGAGGCUAGAGAGGGGGCCGCGACACCCAGGAGACUCAGUCCAUUCACAUUACCCACUGUGGGAGAAGCUGUGUGUUGGGCCGGGAAUGGGAGAGAGAAGGAGGGUGAGAAGCAAAGAAGAGCAGGAAGACAAUGGAGGAAGAAAAUAAAAAGAAACUGUGUGUGAAGAUAUAAGGGCAUGCCAGCAGGGGAGACCUGGUUUGUCAUCUAUGGUUCUGGGGUUGCUGCAGGGCUGCUGAGGCUUUCAGCCACCUUGAAAGUGCUUAGUAUCGCCCUUCUGACACAUGAAAUAACACAUAGGCACCCAUACACAUGCACAAAAACACCUCUGUACUUUUCAUUAUUCCCAGAGUUGAAGGCAUAUCAAAGAAAUACCAGGGGGCUUGCUGCUAGCGUGUCACCAGGGUGGACGCUGGCUGUCACACACAAAUGCAGACACACAGAAAUGGACGCCUGGCUAAUGCCUUUUCUGUUUCUAUCUGCGGGCUGC